rnacentral:tRNA from 1 species
GUCCUGAUAGUAUAAACAUUACACUGGUCUUGUAAACCAGAAAUGAAGAUUUAUUUUUCUCAGGAUA